AACGGAGGGGGCGAGCGUUGCCCGGAUUUACUGGGCUUAAAGGGUCCGUAGGCGGUUGCCUAAGUCCCCCGUGAAAGCUGCCCGCUCAACGGGCAGAGGUCGGGGGAGACUGGGCAACUUGAGGGCAGAAGAGGCCGGUGGAACGACGGGUGUAGCGGUGAAAUGCGUCGAUAUCCGUCGGAACACCAGUGGCGAAGGCGACCGGCUGGGAUGCCCCUGACGCUGAGGGACGAAGGCCGGGGGAGCGAACCGG
rnacentral:rRNA from 1 species